UACGGAGGGUGCAAGCGUUAUCCGGAUUCACUGGGUUUAAAGGGUGCGUAGGUGGGCAGGUAAGUCAGUGGUGAAAUCUCUGGGCUUAACCCAGAAACUGCCGUUGAUACUAUCUGUCUUGAAUGUAGUGGAGGUGAGCGGAAUAUGUCAUGUAGCGGUGAAAUGCUUAGAUAUGACAUAGAACACCAAUUGCGAAGGCAGCUCGCUACACUACUAUUGACACUGAGGCACGAAAAGCGUGGGGAUCAAACAGG
rnacentral:rRNA from 1 species